UGAAAAUAAUGUUAAAUUAUAUUCAAAGAAAAAUAUACCUUUUGUACAACUAGUGCAUCGGAAAAUAGAGAAUGUAGCAGAAUAUUAGAAAACUUUUACAUUUAGAGCCUUGUUUCAAACCAAAGUUGUAAUCCUUUAUCAAAGCUUUUACCGCCUAGAAGUCGGAUUGUAGAAAAGCGGUUACAAACAUGAUAUUU
rnacentral:sRNA from 1 species